rnacentral:rRNA from 1 species
CCUACGGGAGGCAGCAGUGGGGAAUCUUGCGCAAUGGGCGAAAGCCUGACGCAGCAACGCCGCGUGCGGGAAGAAGGCUUUCGGGCUGUAAACCGCUUUCAGCAGGAACGAAAAUGACGGUACCUGCAGAAGAAGGAGCGGCCAACUAUGUGCCAGCAGCCGCGGUGAUACAUAGGCUUCAAGCGUUGUCCGGAUUUAUUGGGCGUAAAGAGUUCGUAGGCGGUCGAGUAAGUCGGGUGUGAAAAUUCUGGGCUCAACCCAGAGACGCCACCCGAUACUGCUUAACUUGAGUUCGAUAGGGGAGUGGGGAAUUCCUAGUGUAGCGGUGAAAUGCGCAGAUAUUAGGAGGAACACCGGUGGCGAAGGCGCCACUCUGGAUCGAUACUGACGCUGAGGAACGAAAGCAUGGGUAGCAAACAGGAUUAGAUACCCUGGUAGUCCAUGCCGUAAACGGUGGGCACUAGGUGUGGGAUUCUAUUAACGAAUUCCGCGCCGUCGCUAACGCAUUAAGUGCCCCGCCUCGGGGAGUACGGUCGCAAGACUAAAAACUCAAAAGGAAUUGACGG